UUCAUGGCCUUUGUUGUUGUUGUUGUUGUUUUUUCUCUUCAAAAUGGUGAAUUUGGACCAAUGUGUUUGUAAUAAUGGCAGGCACUGCUUCUCACCAUUUUAUGUCCCUUUGAAAAUAUAUUAGAAUAAACAGAUCCUUUACAUUACUGCAAAUUGUUCCUUCCACUAUGUGUCUCCGGGAAUAACAAGGACUAGGCAGAUACUGGUAACCAUAUUAAAGAUGGCUUUAAACAGCAGUUUUGGUAGAUUUGGCAAGAAAUAUCGCUAGAAAGAAUAAAGACAUUGUUAACGAAAACCAAAAGUCUGUUUGAAGUAAUGGUGUGUUUUGUCUUUCAUAUAUACGUCAGUUCAUGUUUAUUAAGAUUUGUUUUAGAUGUAAAAUUUUACAAACACAUGUAAAAUUUGCGAUAUUGCAUCAAAACUGAUUUCAAAAACAAUUUAUAGUACGAAACAACGUUUUGUCUUAAUGGAUAAGUGUUAAUUUGUUACAAAAAUCUUCAAUCAAUAUUAUUUCGGCUCUGUUAGAUUCAAAUCUCAGUAGAUUUUGAAAAAUUUCAGUUUUUUACCAGGUUAGUGCAAUAAAUGCACGAGAAAUUGUCCCUACUACUUUUCACAACAAAAGAGCCUUCUUUAAACAAAUUAUUUUGGUAAUUAUUUCCUACCUUUAUGCUUCAUACGCACAAUCCCUUAUAUUUGGUGUCAGUCAAACAGAUUUAUAUUGGCUGUUAAAUUGUGAUGGAGUAAACCAUGAGGCAACAAACAACAAACGUUGGGUUCAAAACCUUGAAAACUGGAAGUGUGCUAGUUCUAUUGAGGGGUAAACUAAAAUCAUUUCCAAUGUAACAGGUCCAGGAGGACAGUAGGAGUCAUAUGAAAUCAAAACGUUUAGAGAAUAUCAUAUAGAACAAUACUUUAGACAAACAUAGGAAUAUAAUUUAAACAAUAUUGAUAUGUAUCCAUACUUCAUGAAGGUGUGCACCAAUUUUGAUAACAUGUUUACAUCAUUUAACAUUAUAUUUUAAUAUUCAAUUACUUUUUAAUUGUUAAACUUCGUACUAAAAUAAACUGUUAUUUCUAAAUACAUGUGUUAUCAUUUUCACCAUGACAUCUAGAACUCUCAUGUAUUUGAUAUCAAGGGUGCAACAUAAUCUUCAUUCCAUUUAACGAAAACUCAAGUGAAAUACUGUGAGUUGAAUAUCAAAUCUAAAUAAUAAAGCUGUAUUUCUUUUCA